UACGUAGGGUGCAAGCGUUAAUCGGAAUUACUGGGCGUAAAGCGUGCGCAGGCGGUUCGCUAAGACAGAUGUGAAAUCCCCGGGCUUAACCUGGGAACUGCAUUUGUGACUGGCGGGCUAGAGUAUGGCAGAGGGGGGUAGAAUUCCACGUGUAGCAGUGAAAUGCGUAGAGAUGUGGAGGAAUACCGAUAGCGAAGGCAGCCCCCUGGGCCAAUACUGACGCUCAUGCACGAAAGCGUGGGGAGCAAACAGG
rnacentral:rRNA from 1 species